rnacentral:rRNA from 1 species
AUUGAACGCUGGCGGCAGGCUUAACACAUGCAAGUCGAGCGGGGACUUCGGUCCUAGCGGCGAACGGGUGAGGAAUGCUUGGGAAUCUGCCCAGUAGCGGGGGAUAACGUUUCGAAAGGAACGCUAAUACCGCAUACGCCCUACGGGGGAAAGGGGGGGAUCUUCGGACCUCUCACUAUUGGAUGAGCCCAAGUCGGAUUAGCUAGUUGGUGGGGUAAAGGCCUACCAAGGCGGCGAUCCGUAGCUGGUCUGAGAGGAUGAUCAGCCACACUGGAACGGAGACACGGUCCAGACUCCUACGGGAGGCAGCGGUGGGGAAUAUUGGACAAUGGGCGAAAGCCUGAUCCAGCCAUGCCGCGUGUGUGAAGAAGGCCUUCGGGUUGUAAAGCACUUUAAGCGAGGAGGAAUGGCUCUUGGUUAAUAACCUUGAGCAGUGACGUUACUCGCAGAAUAAGCACCGGCUAACUCUGUGCCAGCCGCCGCGGUAACAC